rnacentral:rRNA from 1 species
AUUGAACGCUGGCGGCAGGCUUAACACAUGCAAGUCGAACGAGUGGCGGACGGGUGAGUAAUGUCUGGGAAACUGCCUGAUGGAGGGGGAUAACUACUGGAAACGGUAGCUAAUACCGCAUACCAUCGGAUGUGCCCAGAUGGGAUUAGCUAGUUGGUGGGGUAACGUCUCACCUAGGCGCCGAUCCCUAGCUGGUCUGAGAGUCUGACCAGCCACACGGGAAGUGAGACACGGUCCAGAGUCCGACGGGAGGCAGCAGUGGGGAAUAUUGCGCAAGGGGCGCAAGCCUGAUACAGCCAUGCCGCGUGUAUGAAGAAGGCCUUCGGGUUGUAAAGUACUUUCAGCGGGGAGGCGUUACCCGCAGAAGAAGCACCGGCUAACUCCGUGCCAGCCGCCGCGGUAAUUC